GACGAACGCUGGCGGCGUGCUUAACACAUGCAAGUCGAACGGAAAGGCCCUGCUUUUGUGGGGUGCUCGAGUGGCGAACGGGUGAGUAACACGUGAGUAACCUGCCCUUGACUUUGGGAUAACUUCAGGAAACUGGGGCUAAUACCGGAUAGGAGCUCCUGCUGCAUGGUGGGGGUUGGAAAGUUUCGGCGGUUGGGGAUGGACUCGCGGCUUAUCAGCUUGUUGGUGGGGUAGUGGCUUACCAAGGCUUUGACGGGUAGCCGGCCUGAGAGGGUGACCGGCCACAUUGGGACUGAGAUACGGCCCAGACUCCUACGGGAGGCAGCAGUGGGGAAUAUUGCACAAUGGGCGGAAGCCUGAUGCAGCAACGCCGCGUGCGGGAUGACGGCCUUCGGGUUGUAAACCGCUUUCGCCUGUGACGAAGCGUGAGUGACGGUAAUGGGUAAAGAAGCACCGGCUAACUACGUGCCAGCAGCCGCGGUGAUACGUAGGGUGCGAGCGUUGUCCGGAUUUAUUGGGCGUAAAGGGCUCGUAGGUGGUUGAUCGCGUCGGAAGUGUAAUCUUGGGGCUUAACCCUGAGCGUGCUUUCGAUACGGGUUGACUUGAGGAAGGUAGGGGAGAAUGGAAUUCCUGGUGGAGCGGUGGAAUGCGCAGAUAUCAGGAGGAACACCAGUGGCGAAGGCGGUUCUCUGGGCCUUUCCUGACGCUGAGGAGCGAAAGCGUGGGGAGCGAACAGGCUUAGAUACCCUGGUAGUCCACGCUGUAAACGGUGGGUACUAGGUGUGGGGUCCAUUCCACGGGUUCCGUGCCGUAGCUAACGCUUUAAGUACCCCGCCUGGGGAGUACGGCCGCAAGGCUAAAACUCAAAGGAAUUGACGGGGCCCCGCACAAGCGGCGGAGCAUGCGGAUUAAUUCGAUGCAACGCGUAGAACCUUACCUGGGUUUGACAUGGGUCGGGAGUGCUCAGAGAUGGGUGUGCCUCUUUUGGGGUCGGUUCACAGGUGGUGCAUGGCUGUCGUCAGCUCGUGUCGUGAGAUGUUGGGUUAAGUCCCGCAACGAGCGCAACCCUUGUUCACUGUUGCCAGCACGUUAUGGUGGGGACUCAGUGUAGACCGCCGGGGUCAACUCGGAGGAAGGUGGGGAUGACGUCAAGUCAUCAUGCCCCUUAUGUCCAGGGCUUCACGCAUGCUACAAUGGCUGGUACAGAGAGUGGCGAGCCUGUGAGGGUGAGCGAAUCUCGGAAAGCCGGUCUCAGUUCGGAUUGGGGUCUGCAACUCGACCUCAUGAAGUCGGAGUCGCUAGUAAUCGCAGAUCAGCAACGCUGCGGUGAAUACGUUCCCGGGGCU
rnacentral:rRNA from 1 species